rnacentral:rRNA from 1 species
GAGGCCUUUUACAAGUUCUUCUCCAUGAAUGGCAUGGGUUUUCCGAAGCUCAAUGAGGCCCUCAUCACCUUGAUGCCUAAGAAGCCCGAUGCCACCUCGCUCGCGGACUACAGGCCCAUUAGCCUCGUUCACCCAUUGGCCAAGUUAUUUUCCAAGGUUCUUGCUCUUCGCCUUGGGCCCUAGCUCCAGAAGCUCGUGUUUGUGAACCAGAGUGCGUUCAUCUCGGGGCGUAACAUCCACGAUAACUUCAUCCUUGUCCAGUAG